ACGCGAGCUGGGUUUAGAACGUCGUGAGACAGUUCGGUCCCUAUCUGCCGUGGGCGCUGGAGAAUUGAGGGGGGCUGCUCCUAGUACGAGAGGACCGGAGUGGACGCAUCACUGGUGUUCGGGUUGUCAUGCCAAUGGCACUGCCCGGUAGCUAAAUGCGGAAGAGAUAAGUGCUGAAAGCAUCUAAGCACGAAACUUGCCCCGAGAUGAGUUCUCCCUGAGACUUAGAGUCUCCUGAAGGAACGUUGAAGACGACGACGUUGAUAGGUCGGGUGUGUAAGUGUAGCGAUACAUUGAGCUAACCGAUACUAAUGAACCGUGAGGCUUAACCUUACAACGCCGAAGGUGUUU
rnacentral:rRNA from 1 species